GGUGUAGCUCAAUUGGCAGAGCAGCUGAUUUGUAAUCAGCAGGUUGCGGGUUCAAGUCCCAUCACC
rnacentral:tRNA from 1 species